rnacentral:rRNA from 1 species
GACGAACGCUGGCGGCGUGCUUAACACAUGCAAGUCGAGCGGUAAGGCCCUUUCGGGGGUACACGAGCGGCGAACGGGUGAGUAACACGUGGGUGACCUGCCCUCAGCUCUGGGAUAAGCCUGGGAAACUGGGUCUAAUACCGGAUAUGACUCCAUGACGCAUGUUGUGGGGUGGAAAGCCUUGUGCGGCUGAGGAUGGGCCCGCGGCCUAUCAGCUUGUUGGUGGGGUGAUGGCCUACCAAGGCGACGACGGGUAGCCGGCCUGAGAGGGCGACCGGCCACACUGGGACUGAGACACGGCCCAGACUCCUACGGGAGGCAGCAGUGGGGAAUAUUGGUCAAUGGGUGAGAGCCUGAACCAGCCAUGCCGCGUGCAGGAAGAAGGCCUUCU